UUUCUUUUAGCUUACAUUUAAAGCGUCAGUUUGAAGCACUGAAAAUAAUUUUAUAUUAAAGAAAA
rnacentral:tRNA from 1 species